UAGGGAAUCUUCCACAAUGGACGCAAGUCUGAUGGAGCAACGGCCGCGUGAGUGAAGAAGGUUUUCGGACCGUAAAGCUCUGUUGUUGGUGAAGAAGGAUAGAGGUAGUAACUGGCCUUUAUUUGACGGUAAUCAACCAGAAAGUCACGGCUAACUACGUGCCAGCAGCCGCGGUAAUACGUAGGUGGCAAGCGUUGUCCGGAUUUAUUGGGCGUAAAGCGAGCGCAGGCGGAAGAAUAAGUCUGAUGUGAAAGCCCUCGGCUUAACCGAGGAAUUGCAUCGGAAACUGUUUUUCUUGAGUGCAGAAGAGGAGAGUAGAACUCCAUGUGUAGCGGUGGAAUGCGUAGAUAUAUGGAAGAAUACCAGUGGCGAAGGCGGCUCUCUGGUCUGCAACUGACGCUGAGCUCGAAAGCAUGGGUAGCGAACAGGAUUAGAUACCCUGGUAGUCCAUGCCGUAAAACGAUGAGUGCUAAGUGUUGGGAGGCUUCCGCCUCUCAGUGCUGCAGCUAACGCAUUAAGCACUCCGCCUGGGGGAGUACGACCGC
rnacentral:rRNA from 1 species